rnacentral:rRNA from 1 species
AAACCGUGUACGUACAAGCAGUGGGAGCCUCUUAAUGGGGUGACUGCGUACCUUUUGUAUAAUGGGUCAGCGACUUAUAUUCUGUAGCAAGGUUAACCGAAUAGGGGAGCCGAAGGGAAACCGAGUCUUAACUGGGCGUUAAGUUGCAGGGUAUAGACCCGAAACCCGGUGAUCUAGCCAUGGGCAGGUUGAAGGUUGGGUAACACUAACUGGAGGACCGAACCGACUAAUGUUGAAAAAUUAGCGGAUGACUUGUGGCUGGGGGUGAAAGGCCAAUCAAACCGGGAGAUAGCUGGUUCUCCCCGAAAGCUAUUUAGGUAGCGCCUCGUGAAUUCAUCUCCGGGGGUAGAGCACUGUUUCGGCAAGGGGGUCAUCCCGACUUACCAACCCGAUGCAAACUGCGAAUACCGGAGAAUGUUAUCACGGGAGACACACGGCGGGUGCUAACGUCCGUCGUGAAGAGGGAAACAACCCAGACCGCCAGCUAAGGUCCCAAAGUCAUGGUUAAGUGGGAAACGAUGUGGGAAGGCCCAGACAGCCAGGAUGUUGGCUUAGAAGCAGCCAUCAUUUAAAGAAAGCGUAAUAGCUCACUGGUCGAGUCGGCCUGCGCGGAAGAUGUAACGGGGCUAAACCAUGCACCGAAGCUGCGGCAGCGACACUAUGUGUUGUUGGGUAGGGGAGCGUUCUGUAAGCCUGUGAAGGUGUGCUGUGAGGCAUGCUGGAGGUAUCAGAAGUGCGAAUGCUGACAUAAGUAACGAUAAAGCGGGUGAAAAGCCCGCUCGCCGGAAGACCAAGGGUUCCUGUCCAACGUUAAUCGGGGCAGGGUGAGUCGACCCCUAAGGCGAGGCCGAAAGGCGUAGUCGAUGGGAAACAGGUUAAUAUUCCUGUACUUGGUGUUACUGCGAAGGGGGGACGGAGAAGGCUAUGUUGGCCGGGCGACGGUUGUCCCGGUUUAAGCGUGUAGGCUGGUUUUCCAGGCAAAUCCGGAAAACCAAGGCUGAGGCGUGAUGACGAGGCACUACGGUGCUGAAGCGACAAAUGCCCUGCUUCCAGGAAAAGCCUCUAAGCAUCAGGUAACAUCAAAUCGUACCCCAAACCGACACAGGUGGUCAGGUAGAGAAUACCAAGGCGCUUGAGAGAACUCGGGUGAAGGAACUAGGCAAAAUGGUGCCGUAACUUCGGGAGAAGGCACGCUGAUAUGUAGGUGAAGCGACUUGCUCGUGGAGCUGAAAUCAGUCGAAGAUACCAGCUGGCUGCAACUGUUUAUUAAAAACACAGCACUGUGCAAACACGAAAGUGGACGUAUACGGUGUGACGCCUGCCCGGUGCCGGAAGGUUAAUUGAUGGGGUUAGCGGUAACGCGAAGCUCUUGAUCGAAGCCCCGGUAAACGGCGGCCGUAACUAUAACGGUCCUAAGGUAGCGAAAUUCCUUGUCGGGUAAGUUCCGACCUGCACGAAUGGCGUAAUGAUGGCCAGGCUGUCUCCACCCGAGACUCAGUGAAAUUGAACUCGCUGUGAAGAUGCAGUGUACCCGCGGCAAGACGGAAAGACCCCGUGAACCUUUACUAUAGCUUGACACUGAACAUUGAGCCUUGAUGUGUAGGAUAGGUGGGAGGCUUUGAAGUGUGGACGCCAGUCUGCAUGGAGCCGACCUUGAAAUACCACCCUUUAAUGUUUGAUGUUCUAACGUGGGCCCCUAAUCGGGGUUGCGGACAGUGUCUGGUGGGUAGUUUGACUGGGGCGGUCUCCUCCUAAAGAGUAACGGAGGAGCACGAAGGUUGGCUAAUCCUGGUCGGACAUCAGGAGGUUAGUGCAAUGGCAUAAGCCAGCUUGACUGCGAGCGUGACGGCGCGAGCAGGUGCGAAAGCAGGUCAUAGUGAUCCGGUGGUUCUGAAUGGAAGGGCCAUCGCUCAACGGAUAAAAGGUACUCCGGGGAUAACAGGCUGAUACCGCCCAAGAGUUCAUAUCGACGGCGGUGUUUGGCACCUCGAUGUCGGCUCAUCACAUCCUGGGGCUGAAGUAGGUCCCAAGGGUAUGGCUGUUCGCCAUUUAAAGUGGUACGCGAGCUGGGUUUAGAACGUCGUGAGACAGUUCGGUCCCUAUCUGCCGUGGGCGCUGGAGAACUGAGGGGGGCUGCUCCUAGUACGAGAGGACCGGAGUGGACGCAUCACUGGUGUUCGGGUUGUCAUGCCAAUGGCACUGCCCGGUAGCUAAAUGCGGAAGAGAUAAGUGCUGAAAGCAUCUAAGCACGAAACUUGCCCCGAGAUGAGUUCUCCCUGAGACUUUAAGUCUCCUGAAGGAACGUUGAAGACGACGACGUUGAUAGGCCGGGUGUGUAAGCGCAGCGAUGCGUUGAGCUAACCGGUACUAAUGAACCGUGAGGCUUAACCUUACAACGCCGAAG